rnacentral:misc_RNA from 1 species
GUUCGGGCAGGUUCAAGGCAAUCAUCAAAAGUUAUAGAUUUAAGAAACAACAGAAAGGAUUAAGGGCUAAUUGGCCACCAUUUGUGGACUUGACAGGCUAAUGUCUAUCAUGGUUUCGGUCUUUGAGUCAACACUCAACAGAUCGCCAAUUUUAAAGUUUAGGGCAAAACUCUGUCGUUGGCUGUAAAAGAACUUCACAUUUAUAACGCAUCAAUAGAUAACCAAAGCCAUGCACAUUAGCCCAACAGGAGUUUUUCACCACUCGUGCGUCCCAGUGCAGCGCGCACGUUUAAUUUCACUUUGUUCUGAAAAGAGAUCAGAAAUAAUAAGCCACCAUUUUCUUCAAAACACAAGU